ensembl:lncRNA
UGCUGUAGAAAGGACGCCUGAUUCGCCUCCCUCUGAACUUUCUGCAAGAGAAGGGACAUCCAGUAGUACUCAAGGGGCCAGUAACACACAGGCCAGGAACACACAGCCUGCUUCAGGUGAAGGUGAAGGGACAUCCAGGACCACAUCAAGCACUCUGGGCACCAGUGAAACUACACUGCCGCCUGCAGACACCUCACCCUCCACAAUUCCUGCUAUCCAGGGAGAACCUAUAGAUCCUGCUGACUGGCCAGCCCUCUGUGAUCCGCUGCCCCACCGUUACCAUGGAAACACCAAUGAGCGUGAACCACACAGGCCAAAGUUAACAUUGAGCGGUGGGUAUGGAGUUAGAUUUGUUUCAUAAUUCAUAAACAAACGAAACGCGUUUCAAACAAACGAAACGCGAGUCACGAACAAACGAAACGCGAUUCAAACAA